CACCGGAAGGCAUGUAUGGUCAAUCCCCAUUGGCUGAGCCAGUCACCACCCAGCCCAGCCAGCCAAUAGCAGCCCGAAUACCCAAUGGCCUGCGCCUGUCUCCAACGGGCCGUACUGGUCCAGUUACUUAAGCGAGGAAAAUGGACAGGUACUAACUGAACCAGCCUAACCCUCUGGAACCCUCUGGAAGGAGGUCAUCUUUGUGGAUAAAAAAGCUGAUGUUGAAAGAAGAAAGAAGCAGAAAAGUUGCUGACUGACAAAGGGGUGUCAAAGCGAGUAAAAUGAUGUUUACAGCAUCUACCAAUUAGAUUAAGAAAGAGAUGCAUGCUUGCCUCAUGGACAAAGUGGAGCUACCAAUUAAACAAUGUGUGACUGUGUAGACCAAGAUAAGAAGUAAAUAAACAAUGUUUAAAAGCACAA